rnacentral:lncRNA from 1 species
AGGAAAAGAAAAAGAUCUCAAGUUGUGAGAGUUUGCGCAGGGCAAUUUUGUGUUGAUUUUGUCGGGCUGGUUCUGAUGCACAGCUUCCGCUAUUUAUAGCACUGGACCCCGAAUCUGAGAUAGAAUCCUAUUCGGACUAGGUUUUCCCUCUCCGGAUCAAUAUCACCUCGACCAGUCCUGUUUUUAUUAGGAUUGUGAACCUAGUCCUUAUUCGAGCCCUAUCCGCUUCUAGGUUGUUAAUCCUGCCGAGAAUCCCUAUUGUAUCAGGACUCGGCUUGUCAUUGCAUUUUGACCUAACCGGCCUAGGUUUGGAAGCCCAUAAGCUGAACGAUCCAUGGUCUUCUUGUCGCAAGGCCUUCCGGGCCGAGAAUGGUUCUACACUCGGCCCAAACUAUUAUUUUGGGCCCAAACAGUAAAAUAACUAAACACACAAAUUAAACCCUCUUGUUGACAAUUGUAGUAUAUGUAUAAGUAGGGAUCGUUCUUAAACCGGGGAUUAGGAGGGAUUGCUAAACAUUCUAAACUGACUCAAAUAGAUAAAACUAAGCUUUAAAACACUAAACUAGACUCAAAAGACUCAAAACAAACUCAAAAGACUCAAAACAAGCUAAAAACACUCAAAACUGCCUAAAAACACAAACUGUGCAGUUUUGAGCUCUAAACACAAUUUGGACGAAAUUUGGGUUUCUAAAGGCUCAAAACACUUAAAAACACAAUCUAAGACAAGUUCUAACUAAUAUGACUUAACAAAGUAAAGGGGGGUUUGGUUUUGGACGAAAAUAAGUAAAUUAAAGCAAGAACAAUUUAAACAGAUUCUUAAGCAAAUUUAGGUGAAUUGAUGAGAUAUG